rnacentral:pre_miRNA from 1 species
AUGUAGGGCAAUCUGUCUUUAAGUAGGGAUGAAUUACUCUAAAAAAAAUGAAUCCUAGAUAGUUUUCCCUUCAAGUCAAGUGUCUUGU